GGGUUGGCAACGACCCCCCAGAGCCGGAAAGUUGGUCAAACUCGGUCAUUUAGAGGAAGUAAAAGUCGUAACAAGGUUUCCGCCCAUAAGUUUGCGCCUGGAACGCAUGAUUCCUUCCGCAGUGUACACUUAUUGAAGCCUUUGCAGCCACGCAAGUGGCAGGUCCAGCGACUCUAAACAACCCGGUACCGUUGCAAGUCGGCGCGCCUUCCCCCCCGCGGGGGGGGGCGCCCGGCGACACUUUCGAACUGACGGGGACACCCUAAAGCCGAUCGCACCAACCCGCGGCGGGAAACCGCCCGGGGGCCCGUGGUAACGACACGGGGGAUGGUAACAGACGAUCCGGAUAGUCCUGCGCGCCGCGCAGGGAGCAUGGGCAAUCCGCAGCGAAGCCUCUACGUCCCGCCCCGGGAUACGAGGAACGUCCACAGACUAAGUGGAAGUGGGUAGGGCCGCGCGCCCCGCUUAAGAUAUAGUCGGGCCCCCCGGGAGACCGGGGGGGCGAGUACACUGCCUUCUCGCCCACCUACCGUUCCGUAGGUGAACCUGCGGAAGGAUCAUUA
rnacentral:rRNA from 1 species